CUUGCAGAAAAUAAAAACAGGGCUAAAUGUACAGAAGGAAGCCCCUUCUCUUCCUAAAACCACUCACCGCAAGCGAUUCCCAGGCAAAGAAACGUUUCUUUCCGACGGGGCUUGUCUUUCCCCUUCCCUCCUCCUCUUCUCGGUCGGCUUUUUCGAGCUUCUCUCUCAGCUGUUCUCAUCAGGGCUUUAAUUCCACCUCCCCCAUUUAGCUAGACCUUAGUUGUCUUAUUAGCAGCUGCUUGGACGCUUCCACUCCCUUGGAGAGAGGGGGUGAAUUCUCCAUGCAAUACUGGCUUAGUAACGCGUGUAGGANAAGAUUCAGAAAGAAACAGUACAAAUAGCUGAUUUCGCGUAAUUUUGCACCAGGUUGGACAAUACUGUUUGGGGGCAAAGGAUGAAAACGGAUUCCUUUAAAUAGUUCUAGUUUCCCCCCCCCCUCGCUCGGGUGAAAUAUGUUAUCUUCUCGAGAGAGGGGAGGGGACUGCGCAGUGUUUACGGAAGGCAGAGUCGUUUGUCCUCAGUUCUCCCUGAGAGUGUGUUUGUGUCUGUGGACUUCCACCCCCGCCCGGCCCCGAUUUUUGGGCUGAUGCCAGCAGGGUCGUUGAGGCAGACCUCCGUUGCCAGCCCCUGCUAGAGUCAGUUCCUGUGGCUUUUAAGGCGAUGUCAAGCCAAGUGUCACCAGGCGCAAUAAAUUGUUUCCCGAGAAAGGCACGAAAAGGAAAAAUACCAGAGUUUGAUCGUGAGAAGGACGCCUAAAGGCAGACAAAACCGUAAGAGGUUAAGCGGAGAGGCUGGGCUGCUGAGCAGGGAUCUGACACCUGCUCUUAGGGCAGUCCUCAGCCAACAGGCCAUGCUGGUUUCACUAAACCAGAGGAAAAAACGAACAUAUAAUGACUGGAACUUCAUCGUAGCAAACAUGUAUUGCAGUUGUUACUCAUUUCCAUGUAAAAUGCUAAUGAUGUUUUGCUAUAAAAUGCUCAGAAAUCAAGUUCCAUGCCUGACAACAAAAACAGAUUGCAGGACCAUGCUAUAGAUGAGCUGCUGAACUGCUGUCUCUUAUGCAUCUAGAUACUGUCUGGGAAGAACGGUUCAUUCUUAUUAAGGAUGGGCAAAGGACUAUUUCAGAACAUGUGAAAUAGCAACUCAUCAUUCUCUGGAAACCAGAAAGAUGAUGUACUUCCCUGUGCACCUGGCGUUUCCCCAGGAGCUUGCUAAGGAGUGGUGAAGCACAGCCAGCUGCAACAUUGAUCUGAUGAUAUCAGAGAGAGAGGUGCAGCAUUCCAAAUGUUCCUGAACUAUAACUCCCAGAGACAGAG
rnacentral:lncRNA from 1 species